CAAUAAGCGGAGGAAAAGAAACCAACAGGGAUUGCCCCAGUAACGGCGAGUGAAGCGGCAACAGCUCAAAUUUGAAAUCUGGCCCCAGGCCCGAGUUGUAAUUUGCAGAGGAUGCUUUUGGCGCGGUGCCUUCCGAGUUCCCUGGAACGGGACGCCAUAGAGGGUGAGAGCCCCGUACGGUUGGACACCAAGCCUUUGUAAAGCUCCUUCGACGAGUCGAGUAGUUUGGGAAUGCUGCUCUAAAUGGGAGGUACAUUUCUUCUAAAGCUAAAUAUUGGCCAGAGACCGAUAGCGCACAAGUAGAGUGAUCGAAAGAUGAAAAGCACUUUGAAAAGAGGGUUAAACAGCACGUGAAAUUGUUAAAAGGGAAGCGCUUGUGACCAGACUUGCGUCCGGUGAAUCACCCAGCUCUCGCGGCUGGGGCACUUCGCCGGCACAGGCCAGCAUCAGCUUGCCGUCGGGGACAAAAGCUUCAGGAACGUGGCUCCUCUCGGGGAGUGUUAUAGCCUGUUGCAUAAUACCCUUCGGCGGGCUGAGGUACGCGCUCCGCAAGGAUGCUGGCGUAAUGG
rnacentral:rRNA from 1 species